CUUCAGCACUUUAUGUCAAUCUACUAGCUCUCAGAAGAGCACCCAGAACUACCAAAUAUAACUGAGCAAACGUCUUUGGAAUAUUGAUGAAAGCACAGUUAAAUCUCAACUUUCUAGAGAGAAAAGAAAACAAAUCCACUAAGUGUAAUUCUGUAUUUUGAUUGCUGUGGUGGUUACAUGAGUCUAUGCAUGUGAUAAAAUAGCAUAGAACCAUAAGCACAUAUUAAACCAAUGUCAAUUUUCUAGUUUUGGUAUCAUAUUAUAGUUUCAUAAGAUAUAACCAAAGAGAGGAAACUGGGUGAAGGGUACAUGGGAUUUCUCUGUAUAUAUAUAUAUAUAUAUAUAUAUAUAUAUAUAUAUAUAUAUAUGUGUGUGUGUGUGUGUAUGUGUGUGUGUAUGUAUGUAUUAUAUAUGUGUAUAUAUUAUAUAUACACAUAUAUAUGUGUAUAUAUUAUAUAUACACAUAUAUAUGU
rnacentral:lncRNA from 1 species